GGGCCCGUGGCUCAAUGGUAGAGCGUUUGACUUAAUUAACAAAAGGUUGUGGGUUCGAAUCCCAGGUGGUUUA
rnacentral:tRNA from 1 species